GACGAACGCUGGCGGCGUGCCUAAUACAUGCAAGUAGAACGCUGAAGGAGGAGCUUGCUUCUCUGGAUGAGUUGCGAACGGGUGAGUAACGCGUAGGUAACCUGCCUUGGAGCGGGGGAUAACUAUUGGAAACGAUAGCUAAUACCGCAUAAUAGCAGUUGUUGCAUGACAACUGUUUGAAAGGUGCAAUUGCACCACUACCAGAUGGACCUGCGUUGUAUUAGCUAGUUGGUGGGGUAAAGGCUCACCAAGGCGACGAUACAUAGCCGACCUGAGAGGGGGAUCGGCCACACUGGGACUGAGACACGGCCCAGACUCCUACGGGAGGCAGCAGUAGGGAAUCUUCGGCAAUGGACGGAAGUCUGACCGAGCAACGCCGCGUGAGUGAAGAAGGUUUUCGGAUCGUAAAGCUCUGUUGUAAGAGAAGAACGAGUGUGAGAGUGGAAAGUUCACACUGUGACGGUAUCUUACCAGAAAGGGACGGCUAACUACGUG
rnacentral:rRNA from 1 species